UACUUGAAGAGUUUUUCUUGACCAGAGCGAGAUCUGCUAUGUUGAUGUCUUGUCUAGAUCUGGAACACCCAUUGAAGUCACAAAGGAUCCCGUCUGUAACUCUGAAACGCUAGGAAAACGCGUGGGUGGAGAGACACCUAUUGACGUAAAUGACCCAGACGUCAAGAAAGCUUUAGACUUUGCUGUGGCCAGAAUGAACGCCAUGGAAAAUUAUAUGUAUUUGAGAACCGCUACCAAGAUAGCCAAAGUGACAUCCCAGAUCGUUGCAGGCAUAUCCUACCACUUCUCUGGUGUAGAGAUGUCCACCACUAACUGUGACAAGAUGUCCACUCACCAACUGUCCAGCUGUGCAGUAGCCGAUGGAGCAAGU
rnacentral:sRNA from 1 species